rnacentral:rRNA from 1 species
UACGGAGGGGGCUAGCGUUGUUCGGAAUUACUGGGCGUAAAGCGCACGUAGGCGGCUUUGUAAGUUAGAGGUGAAAGCCCAGGGCUCAACCCUGGAAUUGCCUUUAAGACUGCAUCGCUUGAACAUCGGAGAGGUAAGUGGAGUUCCGAGUGUAGAGGUGAAAUUCGUAGAUAUUCGGAAGAACACCAGUGGCGAAGGCGACUUACUGGACGAUUGUUGACGCUGAGGUGCGAAAGCGUGGGGAGCAAACAGG